CUAGGGGAGCCAGUAAAGAUUAAAUGUGCUUCUCAAAGGCAGCCACUUCAUGCUGCUAUGUCGAAAGGGCCAUUAUUAUUAUUAUAUUUUAAUGGUAAAAGAGAAAAGGAGAGAGGUUGAGCGAGCGAGAGAGAAGCUAGGUGUGAUGAUGACAGACUAGCUUUUCUGAGAGGAAAAGGAAAAGGGAAGGGAGAGAAAAAGGAGAGCCUCUGAGCUCAACGGAGGAUUGUGCCUGAGAAGAACCCACAGAGAUACAGUUAAGCUAAUGAUCUCGAGAGGAUAUCGUCCUGGAUAAGGGUGGAGCCUACGCCCAAAAACAAGAUUACCUGAAAGAGAAAAGAAAGGGGGAAAACACACAGAGAUACAGUCGGGGAGGCCACAUGAAGAUGGAGGCAGAGACAGGAGUGAUGAGCCUGCAAGCCAAGGAAUGCCAAGGGCUGCCAGCAGCCAUGAGAAGCUGAGAGACACAGAGAACGAGUCCUCUGCCAGAGCCUCCAGAAGGAACUAACCCUGUCAAUACCUUGAUUUCGGACUUCUGGACUCCAGAACUGUGAGAGAAUAUAUUUCUGUUGUUUUAAGCCAUUCAGUUUGUAGUAAUUGGUUACAAUAGCCAUGGGAAGCUAACAUAGGGUCCUUCAACAAUCAAAGCAAAAAAGAGGACCUAUUAGCACAUGGAGUGCAAAGGAGGAAGGAAUGACUGAGCUGUUUGAAAGUGCAGCGGGAUGUCAUGGGCAACCAGAACUCAGGUCCAAAUUCUGCCAGAACUCUCCCUCUGUGUUAGUCUAUUCUCACACUGCUAAUAAAGACAUACCUGAGACUGGCUGAUUUAUAAAGGAAAGAGGUUCAAUUGACUCACAGUUCUGCAGGGCUGCGGGGGGGACUCAGGAAACUUACAAUCAUGACAAAAGUGGAAGCAAACACAUCCUUCUUCACAUGGCAGCAAGGAGAAGUGCCGAGCCAAAGGAGGAAAAGCCCCUUAUAAAACCAUCAGAUUUCAUGAGAACUCACUCACUAUCAUGAGCACAGCAGCAUGGGGAUAACUGCCCCCACGAUUCAAUUACCUCCCACCAGGUCCCUACCAAGACACGUGGAGAUUAUGGGAAUUACAAUUCAAAAUGAGAUUUGGGUGGGGACACAGCCAAACCAUAUCGGUCUCUUUCCUCUCUGCUUCACUGUCAUUGAAAACUGGCAUUCUUCACUUGGCAGCAAACAUUGCUGCUAACAUCUUUUGAGUUUUUUAUUGUAUGGCUUCAAUCAUCUCAGACAUACUAACUUCCUUUCAUAUUUCCAAAUUAUCUGAAAGAAUCUUACUUUCCUAAUUUGGGUCAUGUCUCACCCUGAACUAACCAACAGAGGCUAAGCUGCCAGGAUCUUAUAAAAUAUGACAGCUCCUAAGGAAACCACUUGAAUGAGUGGAGGUGCUGGGCACCCAGGAGUCCAUCACAUGGGAUCUUUUCUGUCUGUGAUAUGAUAGCCAUUUUUUUAAGGACAACAGUGUGGCAUUUGCAAAGACAUUUGUUUUGUGGACAAGACAUGCAAGUGAAUCUGAGCUCUGCCAUUUACUGGAAGUGUGACAUUAGCAAGUCACUUGGCCUUUCUGAGCUUUCUUAUCUUGUAAAAAAUGAGGAUAGAUUGUUUGAUAAACACUCUACACCUAGAAGGAUCUCAAUAAUGUUUGUUAAUAAUGGUCAUAGAAGUAUAGAACUUAAAUGGACCUUAAAGACAGACAAGAUAACCCUCCUUCCUCCACCUCACAAAAACUCACAAGCUGCAACCCUUCUGAUGUCCACUCCCACACAAACCAGCUUCAGGCCUUUUUCAAGCUUGCUUGGAGAAUACUUCUGAGACUUUCCAAGAUGUGACUGGAGUGAUUUGCACCCGGAUGCCUAGACUCGCCAUCUGCUCAAAGACUGCUCAGAAAGCCCUCCCAUGCAUUCCCCUGCUGCAUACCAGCCCACUCUGCCUGCAGCUGCUGUCUGCAGGACUUCAUAUCUAUGCCACACUGUGUAAAAGCUGUGCUUCAAGAAAUCACAAAAACAUUUUCCUGCACCUACUACACAGCCUGAGUGCGGCAUAAGUUGACCUUGCUUGCUAAGAAAUGGGGCAAGAAAUGCUUUUUUGUGUGUGUCAUGUCUGUUUGUUUUUCAAUUAAGAGAGGAAAGCAUUAGGCAGAUGGAAUGUACAUGUGAGGAUGAGGAGACAGAAAACAAGUAGCCCUUUCCAUCAAGAUAGAGGGUUUUCUGGGGUUGCUGGCUAUUGAAUGUCACUCCUGAUUUCUCUUUCCAAGGCACUGUACCACCAGCCUACUGAGAUUGUGUGGGAGCUUUCAUGGGGGUUG
ensembl:lncRNA MIR100HG mir-100-let-7a-2-mir-125b-1 cluster host gene